rnacentral:lncRNA from 1 species
AGGUCAAAGGGGACGCAGUGGGGGAUGAAGAGCAGAGCUCUGAAUUCCAACUGACCUUCCACAGAGAAAUGCUUUACUGCCAAGUGAUCUUCCCAAUCAUUGAUGUAAGAUAACCUUGAUACCCCUGCCAAUAGGCUCACCAUGGUCAGCAGAGACUGUGAAAGAGCCAACAGCAGAAGUCUCCCAGACAUAUUAUUCAUCAUCAUUGUGCUUAGUGAUCACAACAACUUUCUCUUCUACUAGUCUCCUUUGCUGGCUUUUAGAAAAUCUGUAUCAUAACUCUUCACAGUGGAUAUACCCCAAUGUCUGUCACCGGCCGUCUUCCUUCUGCAUUCUCUCACUUGAAUUAGCAUCAAGGUCAAGUGGGCACUCUGAUGAUGACAUCCCAGGCAAACUACGAAAACUGAGACAAACUUUUGAGGAAAAAAUUGACAAAAACCAAAGCCGACGAUAA